rnacentral:lncRNA from 1 species
GAGUAUACAGAUAAGUUCCUGGAAUUAUUACCAUACGUGGGUCAGGCGUAUGAUACGGAUCAGAAGAAGGCAAAGAGAUACGCCACGAGGCUUCAUCCCAGGUAUUUCUCCUUGAUUCUCCACGCGGAGAAGGAGAAUUUCCACUCCAUUGUGGAUGCUGCUAGAAAGAUGGAGGCCAGUGCCAUAAGUCAGGGAGUAGUCAAGCAACCAAAGGCACAGUUUUCUGGUGCUAAACCAGGUUCCUCCUC